CGUAGGUGGCAAGCGUUGUCCGGAAUUAUUGGGCGUAAAGCGCGCGCAGGCGGCUUCUUAAGUCCAUCUUAAAAGUGCGGGGCUUAACCCCGUGAUGGGAUGGAAACUGAGAGGCUGGAGUAUCGGAGAGGAAAGUGGAAUUCCUAGUGUAGCGGUGAAAUGCGUAGAGAUUAGGAAGAACACCGGUGGCGAAGGCGACUUUCUGGACGACAACUGACGCUGAGGCGCGAAAGCGUGGGAGCAAACAGGAGUUAGAUAUC
rnacentral:rRNA from 1 species